UGGGGAAUAUUGCACAAUGGAGGGAACUCUGAUGCAGCGACGCCGCGUGAACGAAGAAGGCUUUCGAGUCGUAAAGUUCUUUUAUAUGGGAAGAUAAUGACGGUACCAUAAGAAAAAGCCCCGGCUAACUACGUGCCAGCAGCCGCGGUAAUACGUAGGGGGCUAGCGUUGUCCGGAAUCACUGGGCGUAAAGGGUUCGCAGGCGGAAAUGCAAGUCAGGUGUAAGAGGCAGUAGCUUAACUACUGUAAGCAUUUGAAACUGCAUAUCUUGAGAAGAGUAGAGGUAAGUGGAAUUUUUAGUGUAGCGGUGAAAUGCGUAGAUAUUAAAAAGAAUACCGGUGGCGAAGGCGACUUACUGGGCUCAUUCUGACGCUGAGGAAUGAAAGCGUGGGUAGCAAACAGG
rnacentral:rRNA from 1 species